AUAUUUUUAUUAUAUUUAGUAAACUUAACUUCCAAUUAAGAAGUCCCAUUUGGGAAAAUAUA
rnacentral:tRNA from 1 species